rnacentral:rRNA from 1 species
GAUGAACGCUGGCGGCGUGCCUAAUACAUGCCAGUCGAGCGAACGGACGAGAAGCUUGCUUCUCUGAUGUUAGCGGCGGACGGGUGAGUAACACGUGGAUAACCUACCUAUAAGACUGGGAUAACUUCGGGAAACCGGAGCUAAUACCGGAUAAUAUUUUGAACCGCAUGGUUCAAAAGUGAAAGACGGUCUUGCUGUCACUUAUAGAUGGAUCCGCGCUGCAUUAGCUAGUUGGUAAGGUAACGGCUUACCAAGGCAACGAUGCAUAGCCGACCUGAGAGGGUGAUCGGCCACACUGGAACUGAGACACGGUCCAGACUCCUACGGGAGGCAGCAGUAGGGAAUCUACCGCAAUGGGCGAAAGCCUGACGGAGCAACGCCGCGUGAGUGAUGAAGGUCUGCGGAUCGUAAAACUCUGUUAUUGGGAAGAACAUAUGUGUAAGUAACUGUGCACAUCUUGACGGUACCUAAUCAGAAAGCCACGGCUAACUACGUG